UACGUAGAAGACUAGUGUUAUUCAUCUUUAUUAGGUUUAAAAGGGUACCUAGACGGUAUUAUUAGCCUAAAUUAGGGUACAAUAUUACUAGAGUUUUGCAAGAGAAGGGGAGUAUUUAUGGAGUAGGGAUGAAAUUUUUUUGAUACCAUAAGGACUUAUAAAUGGCGAAAGCAGCCUUCUAUAUUAUAACUGACGUUGAGGAACGAAGGCUUGGGGUAGCAAACAGG
rnacentral:rRNA from 1 species